AGGAUUCUCCACAUCGCCCCCAGUGGACUGACGCGGAGGUGCAGGCCGCGUGGCAGGGGCAGUGCGCGCCCCGCGGCCUUAUGGGAAGUGUAGUCUUUCUCCGGAGGCCGGGCAGAUGACAGCGAUGCUGUGUUUCCUGGACCACCUGUUUUCCCACAUCCCACCUCCAGCAUUUCUUUGAGGGGAAGAAAAGUCUUAAGUAUAAAAUCCAGAACCGGGACCAGAAGAUCUCAGCAUCAGGAUAACCUCCUAUACAAGACGCUGUGAACAACCACAGAAGGCACAUGGAGUUCUGGGAAAGAGUUAACUUAGAACUUGUGAAGACCCUGCUGUCCUGUUGGCCUCAAGUUCUCCACCCCAGGCAGCUGCCUGAGCUGCUAGGCAUGCCUGAGCUUGCUCAUGCCUUCCUUCUGAGCACAGGUAUAAAGCGCUGUCUCUUCCGCUCUCACUGCCUGCUUUCUCCUCAUGACUACAAUUCAUGACUCUGUGCACCUCUCCAGUUGGAGGUAUAUGUGAUCUGUUUAGUACUUUGCCACGCCCAUCUCCAGUACCCAGAACCGUGCCUGGAACAGUCGGUGUUAAAAACUGAUUAUAUGAUCAAUAGAUCACUGAACAGAUAAAACUACUCCUACAAAAAUCACAAUAAGCCAAACAGCACAGUAGAAAGAAAGGUUAGGGGCAGCUGUUGAGAUGACCUGGGGGCAAAGACACUUGCUGCCAACUCUGAAGACCCGAGUUCAAUCCCCAGAACCCAAAUGGUGGAAGCAGAGAACCCAUUCCCGAAAGUUAACCUCUGACCUGCACACAAGCGCCAUGACAUCUUUGCCUAUGCAUGUGCACACAUGUAUGCACACACACACGGAGUAAAUAAAUACAUGGUUUUUAAAGUAAUAGAUGAGCAGGAAUAGGCAAUUCAUAGGAAAAAAGAUGGCAAAUAAAUGUAGGAAGAACACCAUAAGUCUCCUCAGUUUUCCUCAGAGUGAAUGCUGAUGGUGAGAAGGUCUGCUGGACCUUUCCAGAAAACAAUUUUUUAUCGAUGUGAAAUGAGUUAAAAGUAGUCUUCUUGGCCAGGCAGUGGUGGUGCACGCCUUUAAUCCCAGCACUUGGGAGGCAGAGCCAGGCAGAUCUCUGUGAGUUCGACACCAGCCUGGCCUACAGAGCGAGAUCCAGGACAGGCACCAAAACUACACAGAGAAACCCUGUUUCGAAGCAACAACAACAAAACAAAAAACAAAACAAAAACAAAAGUGAACUUCUUUUGACUCAGUAAUACUCCCUUAGCAUUAUGUGAAUAGCAUUCUAGUGAGUGGAAUUCUAGAAGACAUAGCCAGAGCCAUUAGUCAAGGGAGUGGAAAAAGCAGUCAAGUUGGAAAGAAGUAAAAUCAUCUCUAUUUCCUGAUGACAUCAUCCCAUGUAUAGGAAACUGAAGAUUCCCACACACAGAACCAAUGAACAAUCUCAGCACAGUUUGCACAACACAAAAAACACACAUAAAAAAACUGAACAAAUGGGGCAGGAGAAGGACGGUUUGGCUAUUAAAAGCAUUUACUCUUCUUGCAGAGGAUCUGAGUUCCCUUCGGAGCACCUACCCUGGGAGGCUCAUUCCAGGGACUUGAUGCCCUCUUCUGGACUCCACAGGCAUCUGCACUCACGGGAGCAUAACCCCUGAAGACACAAAUACAUUUAAGAAAUAAUAAAGAUAAACUUUUUUAAAGACUUCACCUGAAAUUUGGUCCUUAAGGACUCCAUAACUAGGAAUUAAAAAGAGAAAGGUUUCCAAAAAUCUGUGUGACCACUGAGUACACCUCAUCUCUUUCCUGGUGGCCUCUCUCACGGAGACCAGCUGCUUCUCACCACCAGAGGGAGCAGCAUCCUUCUGCCAAGGGGCCUGUUGAUGUUGAUUUUUGCCAACACUGAAAAAAUAAAGUAACAACACGGAAACUCUCA